AGCCUCAUAGUGUAGUGGUCAAUCAUCCUAGACUCUGGAUCUGGGGACUGCAGUUCGAAUCUGCAUGAGGCUACCA
rnacentral:tRNA from 2 species